UACAGAGGUCCCAAGCGUUGUUCGGAUUCAUUGGGCGUAAAGGGUGCGUAGGUGGCGUCGUAAGUCGGGUGUGAAAUCUCGGGGCUUAACUCCGAAACUGCAUUCGAUACUGCGGCGCUUGAGGACUGGAGAGGAGACUGGAAUUUACGGUGUAGCAGUGAAAUGCGUAGAGAUCGUAAGGAAGACCAGUGGCGAAGGCGGGUCUCUGGACAGUUCCUGACACUGAGGCACGAAGGCCAGGGGAGCAAACGGG
rnacentral:rRNA from 1 species